GAUGAAGAACGCAGCGAAAUGCGAUAAGUAAUGUGAAUUGCAGAAUUCAGUGAAUCAUCGAAUCUUUGAACGCACAUUGCGCCCCUUGGUAUUCCGAGGGGCAUGCCUGUUCGAGCGUCAUUAUAACCCCUCAAGCUCAGCUUGGUGUUGGGGCCUGCUGCACUGGCAGCCCUUAAAAUCAGUGGCGGCGCCGUCUGGCUCUAAGCGUAGUAAUUCUUCUCGCUAUGGAGUCCUGGUGGAUGCUUGCCAUCAACCCCCAAUUUUUCUAUGGUUGACCUCGGAUCAGGUAGGGAUACCCGCUGAACUUAAGCAUAUCAAUAGCGGAGG
rnacentral:misc_RNA from 1 species